rnacentral:rRNA from 1 species
GUGCACACUUGUCAUCUUUAUAUCUNCCUUUUGUAGACCUGGAUAUCUCUCUGAANGCUAGCCACUCAGGUUNGAGGAUUGACUUUAUGUCUCUCCUUGCAUUUCCAGGCCUAUGUUUCUUUAUAUACCCAAUGUAUGUCAUAGAAUNUAAUCAAUNGGCCUUUGUGCCUAUAAACCUAUACAACUUUCAGCAACGGAUCUCUUGGCUCUCGCAUCGAUGAAGAACGCAGCGAAAUGCGAUAAGUAAUNUGAAUUGCAGAAUUCAGUGAAUCAUCGAAUCUUUGAACGCACCUUGCGCUCCUUNGUAUUCCGAGGAGCAUGCCUGUUUGAGUGUCAUUAAUAUAUCAACCUCUUCAACUUUUGUUUGUCGGGUGUUGGAUUUGGGGGUCUUUUUUGCUGGCCUAAGGUCAGCUCCCCUGAAAUGCAUUAGCAGAACAAUUUGUGAACCCGUUCAUUGGUGUGAUAACUAUCUACGCUGUUGACGUGAAACAAGUUCAGCUUCUAACAGUCUAUUGACUUGGACAACUUUUCAUUAAUGNGACCUCAAAUCAGGUAGGACUACCCGCUGAACUUAAGCAUAUCAAUAAGCGGAGGAAAAGAAACUAACAAGGANUCCCCUAGUAACUGCGAGUGAAGCGGGAAAAGCUCAAUUUAAAAUCUGUCAGUCUUUGGCUGUCC